UGUAGGUAUCUGCCCUUUGGCCUGGAAUAACACGAGGAAACUUGUGCUAAUACCGGAUAAGUCUUGACGGAGAAAGCUUUAUGCACCAUUGGAUGAGCCUGCACUUGAUUAGUUUGUUGGUGGGGUAAUGGCCUACCAAGACUGUGAUCAAUAGCUGAUUUGAUAGGAUGAUCAGCCACAUUGGGACUGAGACACGGACCAAACUCCUACGGGAGGCAGCAGUGGGGAAUCUUGCACAAUGGAGGGAACUCUGAUGCAGCGAUGCCGCGUGAGUGA
rnacentral:rRNA from 1 species